GUAGGCGGUUUUCACGUUAAAAUGUUUCAAUUUAAUUUCUUUCCUACUUGCCAAAGCCGACAAAAACCGAAAAGUCGUGUGCGUGGUUACCGGUGCAAACACCUCGUCGUAAUCUUCCCCAUAGAUCUGCGAGAAACCCUGCGCUACCAGCCGUGCCUUAUAUUUGGUUACCUCACCUAAAGCAUUGUGUUUCAACUUAUAAACCCAACGGCAACCAACAGGCUUUCGGCCCUCAGUUCCGGCUACGAAGAUCUCUUCUAUCAACCUACUUGCCGGAAUGCCCUUCGUAGAGUGUCGAGAGCGCCUGGCUAUUUCAUCAAGAGGAUAGCUCUAAAAUGAAGAAUCAUUAUCAGAAGCACUUGCAUAGGGCAGCACAUCCGAAUUUUCAGAAUCUUCCAACUCAUUAUCCACAUUCGAAAUCGCAGUAUCUUCUAAAUCCAACUCAAUCGAGGGUGAAAGGUUGCAGCAGACUGCUCAGGUACGGUUUCCUUCACAAGGCACUGUUCAAAGUUUUCGCAUCUCUACCGAUGAUGAUGAGUCCCGACUGCACAUUCAAGAAGCGAUAUGCUUUUCGCCCCUCUGCGUAGCCCACAAAAACUAGCUUCUCUGACUUGCGAUCCAGAGCUUUGCGUUUUUCCUUCGGAACAUCGUACACACUUCCGAUGACGGGCAGCGAAUUUGGAAAUAGUUUGCCGUAUUGAUAGCCUCCCCCCAGAACUUUUUCUUCAAGUCCGAGUCAGCAUUAUCUCUUUUAGAUAACGGUUUUCCGCUCAGCUACACUGUUUUGUUGCGGUGAAUACGGUGCCGUCUUUUGAUGCUCAAUACCACAAUCUGCGAAAAACUUUUUCAUAACUCGACAAGAAUACUCACCAACCCCAUCCGACCGGAUGCACUUGGGACAGUGACCAAAAUGGUUUUUAACCAUGUUACAGUAUUCACGCAUCUUUUCUUCGGAAUCUGAUUUGCGCUGCAGCAAAUAAAUCACCGAAUAUCGACUAAAAUCAAACAGUACAGAGAGUCCGAGGUCUGCAAUCUUGCUCACCGAAAGUAGAUUACUCGCGAGAGAUGGCACAUUAAAAACAUUUUCUAAACCUAAUUUCAAUUGAGCACCUUUGCCGUUAACGCAAGAAAUUUUACUGGAACCAGCUUCAACUGAUUUCACAUUAUUCCCAUCGGCCAAACAAAUGAUCGCCUCUCUAGAACGGUCAAGCUCACCAAGAAUGGAUUUAUCGUUGGUCAUGUGGGAAG